rnacentral:rRNA from 1 species
CCUACGGGUGGCAGCAGUGGGGAAUAUUGGUCAAUGGGCGCAAGCCUGACCCAGCAAAGCCGCGUGAAGGAAGAAGGCUUUCGGGUUUGAAACUUCUUUUUUCAGGGAUGAAGAAAGUGACGGUACCGGUGGAAUAAGCCACGGCUAACUACGUGCCAGCAGCCGCUGUAAUACGGAGGUGGCAAGCGUUAUCCGGAUUUAUUGGGUGUACAGGGCGUGUAGGCGGGAUCGCAAGUCAGAUGUGAAAACUCAGGGCUCAACCCUGAGCCUGCCUUUGAAACUGCGUUUCUUGAGUGCGUGGGAGGCAAGCGGAAUUCGGGGUGUAGCGGUGAAAUGCGUAGAUAUACGGAGGAACACCAGUGGCGAAGGCGGAUUGCUGGACAGUAACUGACGCUGAGGCGCGAAGGCGUGGGGAGCAAACAGGAUUAGAUACCCGAGUAGUC